rnacentral:lncRNA from 1 species
GGUGUGUAUCUGCAGUAACUAGCCUAACAGUUGCGUGGUGGUUGCAUGUUCCGUAACUCAUCCAUCCCGUCAUCAGAGCCGAGCACCGUUACUACAUAAGCUGCAACAUGUCACCUGUAAAACAUACUUAACUCCUUCAACCUGAUGUUUUAAAUCUUGCCCAGCAGCUAACUUUGGAAGAUUUGACAGGUCUCCACCUAUUCCCGAAUAAACAGCUAAGGCUCUUCAGCUAACGAAGACGGGAUGUGUUUCAUGACAACUUGCGACAUGUGCCAGAAGCCAACCUGGUCAGGUUGCGGCAGGCACAUUGACUCUGUGAGUCGCAUUCGUCUACCUGCGUGCAUCAUGUGCUAGCAUGACCUCGGAGCAUUCGCAGGCUCUCGCGAGCGUCCCUCUUGGGGACCGGUGCUCUUGCAAGGCGCGGACGCAGGCUGAAAAGGACGGCAAGAAGUAAUGUUUUCGUGGGAAACAAGCACGAUGAUUUGGCAGGUGAGCUACAGCAGUCAGCAGCUCCUUAUUUCAUGUUCUUACCUUGUUAUUAUUCAACGUUGAUUACUUUUGUUAUGGCUUGCGUUCAGGUGGACCCCGUAAGGAUCCAAGCGAGUGGAAGUAGGCAACUAGGGUGUCGGAAAACUUCGCUUCAACAGCCGCCGUAAUGUUAUUGUUACAGUUAAAGGGUCGAUUGGCCUUAAGCCAACUCUACUUAAUGAUGCAUGCUACUUGAUAUUGGUACACCUAGUUUGUCAACUCUCCUGGGUUGUGAAUGCAACUUUGCAUGGGCGGACUUUUACUGGUCAUGGGACGUGUGCGUCCGCAUGCCAAUCAGUUUGUCUAUUGGUUUGCAGAGUGAUUUUGUGCGCAUGGCAUAUAGGGCAGCUCUUCCCCGGCGACCAGACCGGGCGACGCAUUUUUGUGCUUGUGGCCGUGAGCUGCUGUUUGUUGUCCUGUGAGACCCCUUCCAUCCACAGCCAAAGCUGUAAAGCCAUUGCUCCGCUGUACCUGUAACCAGGAGAUGACUAAUC